AUUGAACGCUGGCGGCAUGCUUUACACAUGCAAGUCGAACGGCAGCGCGAGCUUCUUGCUGGCUGCUAGUGGCGAACGGGUGAGUAAUACAUCGGAACAUGCCCAGCAUUAGUGUGUAGCACCGCCAGAGCCCGAUUAAUACCGCAUACUACCUGAUGGUGAAAGCUGGUGGGCUUCGGACCUCUCGCUAUUGUAGCGGCCGAUGGCCGAUUAGCUAGUUGGUUGGUUAAAGGCCUACCAAGGCGACGAUCUGUAGCUGGUCUGAGAGGGCGAGCGGCCACAUUGGGACGGAGACACGGCCAAGACGACUACGGGAGGGAGCAGUGGGGAAUUUUGGACAAUGGGCGAAAGCCUGAUCCAGUAAUGCCGAGUGUGUGACGAAGGCCUUCGGGUUGUAAAGACCGUUUGGGGGGAAUGAACAGGAUUGUGCCAAUACCAAGGUUGGAUGACGGUAACGGCAGAAUAAGCACCGGCUAACUACGUG
rnacentral:rRNA from 1 species